rnacentral:rRNA from 1 species
UGAGGAAUAUUGGACAAUGGGUGAGAGCCUGAUCCAGCCAUCCCGCGUGCAGGAAGACGGUCCUAUGGAUUGUAAACUGCUUUUAUAUAGGAAUAAACCUACUCUCGUGAGGGUAGCUGAAGGUACUAUAUGAAUAAGCACCGGCUAACUCCGUGCCAGCAGCCGCGGUAAUACGGAGGGUGCAAGCGUUAUCCGGAUUUAUUGGGUUUAAAGGGUCCGUAGGCGGUCAACUAAGUCAGUGGUGAAAGCCGGGCAGCUUAACUGUCGAACUGCCAUUGAUACUGUUUGACUUGAAUUGAUUUGAAGUAGCUGGAAUGUGUAGUGUAGCGGUGAAAUGCAUAGAUAUUACACAGAACACCGAUAGCGAAGGCAGGUUACUAAGAUCAUAUUGACGCUGAGG